rnacentral:rRNA from 1 species
UUUGUUACUUCAAACCAAUCGGACUUCGGUCUGACAUCAAGUGAUAUUGAACAAUUUAGCUGAUCGCACGGUCUAAGAACCGGCGACAUAUCCUUCAAAUGUCUGCCUUAUCAACUUUCGAUGGUAGAUUAUGCGCCUACCAUGGUUGUAACGGGUAACGGAGAAUCAGGGUUUGAUUCCGGAGAGGGAGCCUGAGAAACGGCUACCACAUCCAAGGAAGGCAGCAGGCACGCAAAUUACCCACUCCCGGCACGGGGAGGUAGUGACGAAAAAUAACAAGCUGGUCUCAAUGAGUUCCAGCAUUGUAAUGGGAACAAUUUAAAUCUUUUAUCGAGGAUCUAUUGGAGGGCAAGUCUGGUGCCAGCAGCCGCGGUAAUUCCAGCUCCAAUAGCGUAUAUUAAAGUUGUUGCGGUUAAAAAGCUCGUAGUUGGAUCUAGGAUUAGGGCUACGGUCGUUCAGCUUGGACGUACUGUAUGCCCGACUCCUUUUCUCUAGUAUUCGAUUGUUGCUCUUAAAUGAGUGACUUUAGUUGCUGGAACUUUUACCUUGAAAAAUUGAAGUGCUCAAAGCAGUUAU